GGCAACUUGGCGCAGUGGAAUCACGCAGGGCUCAUAACCCUGAUGUCCCAGGAUCGAAACUUGGAGCUGCUA
rnacentral:tRNA from 1 species